AGUCCUGAGUGUGGUGGUGUUUACAACUAAUUGAUCACAACCAGUUACAGAUUCCUUUGUUCUGUCUCCACUCUCACUGCUUCACUUGACUAGCUAAA
ensembl:misc_RNA Y_RNA Y RNA